AGAAUAUACUGCUCUUCUUCCCAUUUGACAGAUGAGGAAGUUGAGGCUCAAAGGAGUCACUUGGCCAGAAAGAAAACAGGCCUGAAUUCGAAGCAGGCCUGAGUCCAGAACUCACAGUCCUGACGGCCACACCGAGUGACCUCUGCACAGAUGCCCUCUGUCCCGUCUCCCUUCACCUGACUCCUCUCUGCACACGGCACCCAGGAGGAGCUUUCCCAAGGGGAAGAGAGAGGGGUGGCGGGAUGUGUGUAUGGAGGGCAGGGAUGUAGUCCCAGGGGGAGCUUCUGGAGGAGGGCAGUGGGCAGUAGAGUGGAACGGUGGCUGGAAGCUGGGGAGGAUCUGACCUGCUGAAAGCAAAGGACCCCUCCCACCCCCCGGCACCACGACAGCGCCUCAUCACAAGGCCUGUCAUCCAGGCUUUCCAGGGGCCGCAAGCUGCAUCUGCACUGUUUCUGCGGCGCCCCCGUGCCCCCCGGACACAGACUGGCAAAGAACAGGUGGUCCCACAUACCAAGAACAGCCCAGCGGGAAAGACGUCACCCACAUACUUCCAGACUUUGUGGCAGAGGCCAGCUCCUUGCCCCACCUUUGUUCCUGGCCAGGAGGAAAUGGCAUGAAAUGAGGACAGUUUUUAUAACCUCUUUCGGCUCUAAACCGUGUUUCCUGUGCACUUAGCAGGUCUUGAUGGAAACCAAACAGGUCUCGUAGGCAUCUGUAUGCUGAACGCCUUAAGUCAAGCACCCACGUGGUUCCGAAAACUGCACCAACACAAACAGUCUUUAAAAACAACACAACAUGAAGUGACCAGCGCUAAUUCAAAGAGGCAGACAUAUUUCUUAAAGGUUGAGGAGAGGUGAGGCUUUCACAAGAGCCUAGCUCAAGGCCACAUUUGCAAAAGCAUAAUUGUGCGCUAGCAAGGUUUUGUUUAUCUGGCCAUUAAAAAAAAUUUAAAACAACCUUUGCUUUCAGCUCUUUGGAUAAGCACUGUUUUUCCAGCUGUGGAGUCUGAGGAGGCUGCGAGAGGCCUGCUUUGGAGAUAUGUGUACACACACACACACACACACACACACACACACACUUUUUUUUCCUCAAAAGUUGAAGGAAAGUUUCUGACACAAUUUUGCUUGGUCUAAACUGCACACAGAACAGUUUAUUUAUACUGGUUUAUCACACACCUGUUUGGAUAUGGGCUGUUUUCUGGUAUUUGAACAGACCAUUUCUUGCCAGUGGCUUUAUCUGCAGGCUCAUGCCUUUGCUGCAAAUGUUUCUUAUUAACUCAGAAAGAAACACCAGUUGCUCGGUGAACAUUAUUAGUGAGACUAAAAUAACCUCAUUGUAACUUACUUCUAACAAGUUAUCACUGAGGAGCUGUAUCCCAGGAAUCUGCUUAAAAUACGGUAAAGGCUGUUUCACUCUACUUAAGGGGAAAAAAAGGAUAAGAAGGCUUUUUUGGGUUAAAAUCCUUUAAUGAAAACAUUUUCUUAAGCCACCUGCUUCUUGUGAGGUGGUAUUUCGGGGAGAAGGGAAAGCAAUCCCCUUUGAGAUUGUAGUAGGCUAUUUUAUGUUGCCGGCGAUAGAAGUUCUGGUUGCACGGAUGGCAGCCUUAGAAUGUAGGUGCGAGACGUAACUACUUACGUGACCCUCUCAGAAUCAUUUAAACUGUCUUCUCCUCCCUCAGUAACAUGUGGGCCACAAUGUCUAACUGGGGAUGAGAUCAUUUAAUUCAGCACGUAGUUAUUGAAUAGCUAUUGUGGGUGCGUUUGUGCGGAGAUGAGUGAGACGAAGUCUUUGUUUCCAGCAAUCCACAGUCCACAGUCUGGCACAUGGUAGGUCUCCUUCAAUGUGAGGCAAAUUUGAAUAUUUAUGUGUAUAUUCGCGAAUAGCUAAGUAGAUGCCAAAACUCAUUCUGUAAAGAAAAUAAGAGCAGGUUGGAAUACUAGCUUAAGACACUGUAUUGGUUAUCUAUUAAUGACGAGUAACAAAUGGCCUCCAAAAGCUAGGGGUUUAACCGAGUAAACACCUGUGAUCUCUCAGUUUGGCUUAGCUGGGUGUCUUCUAAGGUCUCUUCUAAGGCUGCAAUCUAAGUGUUGGCCAGGGCUGCAGUCUCAUCUGAAGGUUCAAAGGAAGGGAGUUUUUCCAAGUUCAAGGGCAUGGCUAUUGGCACCACUCUGUCCUUUGCAGGCUGCUGCACUGAGGGCUGCAGUUUCCUGCUGGCUGUUGGCCAUAGUGGGGGGGGGGCGCUUCCUUCAGUUUCCUGGCACGUGGGCUUGCUCAGUACAUCAGGUGGCAGCAGGCUUUCCGCAGAGAGGCAGAGAGCAAGAGAGACCGAGCAAGGUGGGAGCCGUGCCAUCUUGGUAACCUCACCUUGGAAAGGAUCUCCAAUCACUGUCGCCAUAACCCAUUCAGUGGCCAUGAGCCAAUAGGUCCAACCCACACUCAUGGAGCGUGAAUAACACCAGGACAUGAGUGUCAAGAAGCAGGGGUCAUCGGGAACCACGUUAAGGGCUGCCGACCACCCAGCUGGAGACCAAAAUGGCUAAGGACCUGAUGAGGAGCCUCAGCUGUGUUUUAGUGUAACGUGGCUGGUCCCAUCCUGGCUCAGCUCCUGGUGCGGUCAAGCAGCCCCAGGCAUAACUGCAUUAGAAACUUCGGCUUCAUCUGCAGGGGAAACCUGGUAGGCCUGGGCCACAGCAGCCCUCUCCUCAACCAUUUCAUGGAAGCAUCUCCAGAGAGAAGCCAUCAGGACACCUGGCAGCUCCUGUAGUGUCCCAAGAUCUUAGAAUUUGUUGGUAUAACGCAGCCCCAAGCCUGGAGCCUGAGAUUUCCAUCUCCCUUCUUGUCAGCACGCGCUCCUCUUUUUUCUUUUAUAGUCUUGCUGGUUCAAUGGCGAUAAUGAGCAGUGCUUACCUCCUGGAAUUGUUGGGAGGAUCGAAUGGCAAACAGAGUGAACACUAGGUAUUUCGGAUCUCUGAGGCACCAAGCUCUCGACCCUCCCAAACUUACCCCUGCCUCUGGAAAUCCAAACACAUCAGAGAGGAGAAAUGAUCACUUUUUUUUUUAAUCAUUGUCUCAGCUUUUAUUAUUAUUUUUUAAUUGUUAUUUCCCCAAUGCAAUUUUUUUUCUACUGUACAGCAUGGUGACCCCGUUACACAUACAUUCUAUUUUCUCCCAUUAUCAGGCUCCAUCAUACGUGACUAGACCUAGUUCCCAGUGCUACACAGCAGGAUCUCAUUGCUAAUCCAUCCCACAGGCAAUAGUUUGUAUCUAUUAACCCCAAGCUCCCCAACCACCCCACUCCCUCCCCCUCCCCUGAUCACUGUUAAACAAUAUAAUUAUUAGACCAAUAGUCAUAAGGGGAAGUAUGAGCAUGGGUUUGAUGGACCAACCAGAGCUGACUGAUUCUGAUCAGAGCUGGUUGUGAACCCAUAUCCCGUAGUGGAAAAGUCCUCUGCAGAGCCAGGCGCAAAACCUUCAAUGACACCCAGUGGGGAGUGGGUGGGAGGCAGUGGUCCAGGGAAGGCCAGGUUGGCCAGAGCUUGGCACUGGGCGCUCAGAGCCAUCGUUAAGCAUCGACAAUUACAAGACAUUUCAGUGUUUUAACUGGUGAGGAUACCGUUGUGUGCACAAGUCCACUGACGACUGUCGGCUCCGCGAGGGGCCACAUGCAGGGUCUUGAACUUGUCACAGAGGUCGGGAAGGACGUCUCUGAGGAAGAGCCUCUUGUGUAGACCUGGAGGAUAAGUGGAGAUUAUACAGGAAAAGAGACAGCUUUGUAGACCAAGGGAACAGCGCGUAGAAAGACGCAGACCUGGAGCAGGCGGGAUAUAGUCAGAGACCCAAAGAAAGUGUGGUGACGCACAGAGAGCCAGACAGACUGGGGUCACUCUGGGUCACGUGAAGGCUUUGUGCUUCGACUUCACAGGCUCAAGAAGAACCACCGAAGGGAUUUAAGUCAGGGUGUGCCCGUGUCCUCUGUGCAUUCUGAACGCGCAUUCUGGCUGAAGAGCCGAGCACGUCUUAAGCAUUCAUGUCGUUAUGAUUUUUUUCCCCUGUUUUCCUUUGCCCUGGCGAACCCCAAGGCACACGUGGUUAAAGAAUACACGGGUUCUGGCUGCCUGCCUUGAUGGGGACACAAAGUUCCUGGACCUUUGGAUUCAACCCAGCAAAGUCUGGGUUCAAGUCCUCAGAACCAGACAGGCAGACCCGCCCCCCCUGGUUGGAGCAAUAUUUUAAAGAGACAAGCAUGACCACACCUGACUUCUUGGGAGGGGUUCCUAAACAUUGUCACUCGAGACCACGAAGGUGGAAACGGCACUAACGUUAAAGCUGAUGAGCUUCCCCCUGCGUGCUGCUAAAAUCUCCAGGUCCACUCAUGCCCUCACCGAAUCCACAUCUUUUCGUAUGCUUCCAACUAUAAACAUAUCCCUCGGAGGACAGCAUGGACAUUGAGAAGAUAAGCCUCAGGGUGAGAGUUGGUUUGACAAGUGUCUCUUUGGACAACUCAGCUCCCUUAGCUACCCUGAGCUUGACCUCUCAUCUCUAAUACUGGGACAAGGUCAACAUCCCCUCACUGUAGUAAGGAGAGGAAUAUGCAAACUCCUAGGUGCAGUCCCACCCUUGCUGAAAAAUUAGCUGUUUAAAAACACAUAGGUCUCUCUUGGUGAGCCAGCGUUACGUAAUAAACAGCCCCCAAACCUCAAUUUUUGUUGCAAAACGAAGAACCCACGUGAUUCACAAGACGUGUAGGCUGGCUCGAAUGGGCUGAUCCAGGCGGAGUGCCGAGAGGGCUCUGCUGGUCUUGCUGGGCUCGCCCGCACCGCUGGUGAUGGGCUGUGGCUUUGUCUGGAUCCCACUCCAUGCCUCUCUCAUCCUCCCCCCGGAAUCAGCGGGCUCCUCUGGUCACAAACUUUGUGUGGCCGUGGCAGAAAUAUCCAAGAGAAAAAAGGAAGAUGCACGAUAUCUUAAGGCCCCAGGGCCUUGUCACCCUGUCCGUUUAUUGGCAAAGCAUGACAUGAAGCUGAGCAGAAAGUCAAGGGCAGGGAAAUGCCCUUUGGGGGAAGGAAGUGGCAAGUCCCAGGUCAGAGCACAUGCUCCAAAGGGAAAAAGCCAGAAGCGUGUAUCUCGGGGGUUCAGAGACUGGCAAGGGGGCCUGCGAACCAGAAAACUGGGGGAGGUGGAACCUGAGCUUCACUUGAAGGAUAAGUGAGGAUUAUAGGGAUAGAGAGAGCUGGAGUUCCCGUCGUGGCGCAGCAGAAGCAAAUCUGACUGGCAUCCAUGAGGACGCAGGUUCCAUCCCUGGCCUUACUCGGUGGGUUAAGGAUCUGGCAUUGCCGUGUGCUGUGGUGCAGGUCACAGAUGUGGCUCGGAUCUGGCGUUGCUGUGGCUGUGGCAUAGGCCAGCAGCUGUAACUCUAAUUCGACCCCUCACCUGGAAACCUCCACAUGCCAAGGGUGCCGCCCUAAAAAAGACACACACACACACACAAGGAUAGGGCAAGAUGGUGGUGUUCUCGGUGUGAAAGAUACGCAAGGCUGGGAACUGCGUCAGGAGGGAGAUCUGUGAUGCCAAGAGGGUAACUUAUGCAGUGGGGGCUACAACAUGGAGAAGAAGCCCACCGACAGACUCAGGCUCUGAAUGUCCAUCUAACGUUAGGGGCUUAAGCGCGUGGAUGACAGUCAGUGACAUGCGAGGAGCGUUUCAAAGAGAAAGCAGUGGCUCUAGGCCUUUGCUUCUCGAGUGAAUCCCUGCACCAGCAGCCUCAGCACUUCCUGGGAAUUUAUCAGAUUGCAGGAUCUCAGGGCCACCCUCCAAACCACGGAGCUGGAAUCCAGGAUUCCCAGGACAUCCGGAUCAUUCCGAGGCGUGUCGUCAUUUGAGACCCAUGGCACUGGAAGCUCAGUGUAAAUGAAUGCAAAUAAGCAGAGACUGCGGGCACCGUGUUAGGGGAUCCCUAGCAGGAACCUCUGAGCGCCCUGUGUGCCAUGACAAGAGACAUGGAAAGAAGCAAAUGUGGUGGAGGGAGAAGCACCAAGGCCUGACACCUGCGAGGAUGGAGUAAAUAACCCACAGACGACAGAAAGUGGGUGACCCGACCGGGCGUGCUGGUGCCCGUGGAGACAGGAAGGUCAGUGCCUGGGGCAGCAGGCAGGAGGGGAGAGAGUGAGAAGUGGCCUUUGAGACCUGGAGUUUGAAUUUCCAGAAUGGCCAAACCAGAGGGCUCUUCAAAUGAUGUCAUGUAAGAUCCAUGAGGAUGCAGGUUCCAUCCCUGGCCUUGCUCAGUGGGUUAAGGACCUGGUGUUGCUGUGAGCUGUAGUGUAGGUUGCAGAUGUGGCUUGGAUCCCUUGCUGUGGGGCAGGCCGGCAGCUAUAGCUCCGAUUCGACCCCUAGCCUGGGAACCCCCAUAUGCCAUGGG
rnacentral:lncRNA from 1 species